rnacentral:rRNA from 1 species
GAACUAACAAGGAUUCCCCUAGUAACUGCGAGUGAAGCGGGAAAAGCUCAAAUUUAGAAUCUGGCAGCCCCUGUUAGGUUGUCCGAGUUGUAAUCUAGAGAAGUGCUAUCCGUGCUGGACCAUGUGCAAGUCUCCUGGAAUGGAGCAUCACAGAGGGUGACAAUCCCGUCUUUGACAUGGACUGCCAGUGCAUUUGUGAUGUGCUCUCAAAGAGUCGAGUUGUUUGGGAAUGCAGCUCUAAAUGGGUGGUAAAUUCCAUCUAAAGCUAAAUACUGGCGAGAGACCGAUAGCGAACAAGUACCGUGAGGGAAAGAUGAAAAGGACUUUGGAAAGAGAGUUAAACAGUACGUGAAAUUGCUGAAAGGGAAACGCUUAAAGUCAGUUGCACUGACUGGGAAUCAGCCCUGCUUGUUUGCUGGGUGUAAUUUUCCAGUUGGUGGGUCAGCAUCAGUUUUGACCAUUGGAUAAAGGUGUGGGGAAUGUGGCAUUGAUUUAUCAAUGUGUUAUAGCCUUAUACUGUAUGUGAUGGUUGAGACUGAGGAAUGCAGCAUGCCGAAAGGUCAGGGAGUCAUCCCAUGGAUCAUGCUUAGGAUGGCUGGCAUAUAAUGGCUUUAAUCGACCCGUCUUGAAACACGGACCAAGGAGUCUAACAUGCCUGCAAGUAUUUGGGUGGAAAACCCCUAUGCGUAAUGAAAGUGAAAGUUGAGAUCCCAGUCUUUGGGAGCAUCAAUGCCCGGACUUGAAGUUUUCUGACAGUUCCGCGGUAGAGCAUGUAUGUUGGGACCCGAAAGAUGGUGAACUAUGCCUGAAUAGGGUGAAGCCAGAGGAAACUCUGGUGGAGGCUCGUAGCGAUUCUGACGUGCAAAUCGAUCGUCAAAUUUGGGUAUAGGGGCGAAAGACUAAUCGAACCAUCUAGUAGCUGGUC